CAGAGCAUAGCUUAACACCUAAAGCAACCCUCUUACACAGGGAAGAUUAUUCGUUAGAAUCGAAUUGUCCUGA
rnacentral:tRNA from 1 species